CCUCUCUCUCUUCAAGAUCCCCGACUUUCUUCAAAGAAAUAAUAAGCACAAAUUUCAGAAGAGAACAGCAUAAAGUGUACAAAUAAAUUAAUAUACACAACCAAAAAUUUGAUUCUCUUUAUGGCCCACUGGACAAUUCAUUAUGGUACUANNNNCACAUGCUACCAUAGAUGAGCUUUAUUAAGUAGGUUCUAUCACUCCAACUCUUCACUUCACUGGAGAUACAUGAAAGACAAGUGCAUUAAUUUG
rnacentral:misc_RNA from 1 species